AUUCCAGAUAGGGGGUAGAAGAUGGUGGUGUGAUAGGAGGAAGCAGAUUCCACUUUUCCCUACAUACUGGAGAAAAACCUAGCUAAUCUACAGAGGAACAGAGAAAACAGCCAACAAUAUCACAACAUAUAUGAAAAUAGGAGAUCAAAAAUUAUAGCAGACAUUGAAAAACCAGAUGGUAAGGAGAGUGCUUU